UUCUAUGGGUAGCCUAGUGGACAUGGCAUCUGCCCGGUAAGCGGGACACUGUUAGUUCGAUUACCAUCCCUGGACA
rnacentral:tRNA from 1 species